rnacentral:lncRNA from 1 species
UCUCUUAUGUCACAUCCUCCAGCCUUAAGGUCACGAACCAUAGCACUCAUGAUAUGUAAGUGUUCAGCUAUACUGUGUUUUAGAUCUAUUUCAUACUUCAUCCACUUUAAAUCCAAGGUACAGAUCCUUGCAGUGGAUAUUUGGCCAAAAGUGACUUUAAGCUUGUCCCACAUGUCCUUAGCCAUGGAACAUAUCUCAAACUCUCUAAUGAGAUUGUUAUGCAUGCAAUAUAAUAUAGUAUAGCACACAAAACGAUCUUUCUUGUACCAUUCCGGGUAUGCAGCCAGAUCCUU